CCCUUAGAUGUCCUGGGCCGCACGCGCGUUACACUGAUGCAUUCAACGAGCUUAUAACCUUGGCAGAGAGGCCUGGGCAAUCUUGUUAACGUGCAUCGUGAUAGGGAUAGAUUAUUGAAAUUAUUAAUCUUGAACGAGGAAUUCCUAGUAAACGCAGAUCAUCAAUCUGCAUUGAUUACGUCCCUGCCCUUUGUACACACCGCCCGUCGCACCUACCGAUUGGAUGGUCCGGUGAAGCCUCGGGAUUGUGGUUCUUGCCGCUUUAUUGUGGCGUGACCGCGAGAACUUGUCUAAACCUUAUCAUCUAGAGGAAGGUGAAGUCGUAACA
rnacentral:rRNA from 1 species